AGACGUAGGGGGCGAGCGUUGUCCGGAAUUACUGGGCGUAAAGAGCACGUAGGCGGGAACCUAAGUCAGGUGUGAAAGACCGUGGCUCAACCACGGGGUGGCAUUUGAAACUGGGUUUCUUGAGGGCAGGAGAGGAAAGCAGAAUUCCUGGUGUAGCGGUGAAAUGCGUAGAAAUCAGGAGGAAUACCAGUGGCGAAGGCGGCUUUCUGGACUGACCCUGACGCUGAGGUGCGAAAGCGUGGGUAGC
rnacentral:rRNA from 1 species